UCACAGCUGAGAGCAUCUCUGCAGUCAACACUUAUGCUGCUCCCAUUGCAGCCGCCUCUUGGCAAAUCCAGCGCAAUACACACUCCUGCUAGAGCUCCCCUAACCAGCACACAGGCGGUGUGAUGAGGAGGCCACACUUUGCAUUGCUGGGAGGAAACCUGAUCCACGCAGAGACCCUUUCCGCUCGGGUGAUGUACCGGGGCUUGGCUGGAUGCAGCCCUAAGGAGGAAAGAGGGUCCUCUCAGGGAGAGAUACAGCUGCACCCCAGGUUGUUUCUGCACACUAUCAUCUCUCUGGGUGAAGCAGAGCUGCUGUUCUUGCUCUGUGCUUGUGUUCUCACAGAAGAGGAGCCCAGGGUGGGGAGGAGGACCUCUCUGUGCAACACCUAUGCAGGUAAGCCAGGAUUAGCAGUGCUGAAGAGGAACAAAAUAUAAUUGAUGUGAACUUAAAGGAUUUUGCCUCUGACUGUGCAUGAGAUGGAAUUGCUCUGGGGAUGAAUAAGAGGUGUGUAGCAAAGGAGCCAUUUGUCUGCAGGUUUCAGAUUUCAUUUCUUUCUGGAGUCUGAAUAAAGCUGAUUGGUAUCUAACAACACUUCACAUGGGGAAAAAUACAUUUGGGUUUUGAUGUGGCUUUUAAAAAUUUUCUUCUUGAAUGGGUAUUAGAAUUAUGGGGAUUUUUUUACUUCCUUGAUGGCUGAUCUAUAAACUGAUUAUGACAAGACCCUUUCAGUCCUGUGCCAUUAGGUCAAGCCUCCCUUUCCCUGCCUGGCUCUUACGGUGGUGGAGAAGGCUAGAGGGGAGGCAGAUGUCAGCAUGCACAAACAGGGAAGAAAAUGGUCUGAUUUUGGGUGAGCUAUUGAAGAAGGACUGUUUAAGCUUCUGCAGCUUGUCUGCAUCCUAAAUAGUUGUUGUAAUAUGUUUAUUUAAUUCUGUUGAAAUUUUUAGUAUUUUGUCUGUUGGUAUGUUCCUGGUUUUCCCCCAUUGAUUACUUUGGUAGGUUCCAGUUGUCUGUCAUGUAAACCCCUCCUAGUUUUCUUGAAUGUUCCUCAUCAAUCACCUUAACCCCGCCCCAACUCCCCAUUCAUCAUUGUAAACCCCACCUCUCCUUCCAGAUCCUUCCAUGUAUGUCCUCCAUUCCUCAACACUUUAUUGGUUGAUAUGUUACAUUCCCGCCUUCUUUGUAUCCCCAUUGGUCCCUGGGAUUGUAACCUCCUCCCCUCACCCCUCCCACCAUGAGCUCCCAUUGGACUCUGGACUGUACCCUCCCCUUGGAUAAAACCCAGUGCACAAAAGUGCUCAGGGUUCUCUUUGGUCCUGAGAUUUUGCAGCCCGGAGCCUCAUGUUCCUCCCUUCUCCUGAAUAAACUUGUU